AUUGAACGCUGGCGGCAGGCCUAACACAUGCAAGUCGAGCGGAUGAAGGGAGCUUGCUCCUUCAUUCGGCGGCGGACUGGCGAGUAAUUCCGAGGAAUCUGCCUAUUAGUGUUGUAUAAGGUCCUGAAACGGGCGCUAAUACCGCAUACGUCCUUAGGGAGUAAGGGGGGGAUCUUCGGACCUCACGCUAUCACAUGAGCCUAGGUCGGAUUAGCUAGUUGGUGGGGUAAAGGCCUACCAAGGCGACGAUCCGUAACUGGUCUGAGAGGAUGAUCAGUCACACUGGAACUGAGACACGGUCCAGACUCCUACGGGAGGCAGCAGUGGGGAAUAUUGGACAAUGGGCGAAAGCCUGAUCCAGCCAUGCCGCGUGUGUGAAGAAGGUCUUCGGAUUGUAAAGCACUUUUAGUUGGGAGGAAGGGCAGUAAGUUAAUACCUUGCUGUUUUGACGUUACCAAAAGAAUAAGCACCGGCUAACUUCGUG
rnacentral:rRNA from 1 species